rnacentral:rRNA from 1 species
GCGGUAUGCUUAACACAUGCAAGUCGAGGGGCAGCGGAUAGAGUAGCAAUACACUAUGCCGGCGACCGGCGCAAGGGUGCGUAACGCGUGAGCAACAUGCCCGUAUCCGGGAGAUAACCGUUGGAAACGACGACUAAUAUCCCAUAACAACAGAGAUUGCAUAAUUUUUGUUUGAAAAAUUUAUUGGAUACGGAUUGGCUCGCGUGACAUUAGCUAGUUGGUGAGGUAACGGCUCACCAAGGCUACGAUGUCUAGGGGUUCUGAGAGGAAGGUCCCCCACAUUGGAACUGAGACACGGUCCAAACUCCUACGGGAGGCAGCAGUGAGGAAUAUUGGUCAAUGGUCGGAAGACUGAACCAGCCAUGCCGCGUGAAGGUUACGGUCCUAUGGAUUUUAAACUUCUUUUGACGCAGAGCAAUAAGGUCUACGUGUAGAUCGAUGAGAGUAUGCGUUGAAUAAGCAUCGGCUAACUCCGUGCCAGCAGCCGCGGUAAUACGGAGGAUGCAAGCGUUAUCCGGAUUUAUUGGGUUUAAAGGGUGCGUAGGCGGUUGGGUAAGUCAGCGGUGAAAUGUAUAUGCUUAACAUAUAACGUGCCGUUAUACUGUCCGACUUGAAUGCGGAUGCCGUGGGAGGAAUGUGUGGUGUAGCGGUGAAAUGCAUAGAUAUCACACAGAACACCGAUUGCGAAGGCAUCUCUCGAAUCCGCUAUUGACGCUGAGGCACGAAAGUGUGGGGAUCAAACAGGAUUAGAUACCCUGGUAGUCCACACUGUAAACGAUGAUAACUAACCGUUGGCGAUAUACUGUCAGUGGCUAAGCGAAAGCGAUAAGUUAUCCACCUGGGGAGUACGUUCGCAAGAAUGAAACUCAAAGGAAUUGACGGGGGCCCGCACAAGCGGAGGAACAUGUGGUUUAAUUCGAUGAUACGCGAGGAACCUUACCCGGGCUUGAAAGUUAGUGACAGGUUUGAAAACAGACCGUUCCCGCAAGGGACACGAAACUAGGUGCUGCAUGGUUGUCGUCAGCUCGUGCCGUGAGGUGUCGGCUUAAGUGCCAUAACGAGCGCACCCUUGCUGUCAGUUGCCAUCAGGUGAUGCUGGGGACUCUGGCAGGACUGCCACCGUAAGGUGUGAGGAAGGGGGGGAUGACGUCAAAUCAGCACGGCCUUUACGUCCGGGGCGACACACGUGUUACAAUGGUGGGUACAGAGGGCAGCUACCUGGCGACAGGAUGCCAAUCCCGAAAACCCAUCUCAGUUCGGACUGGAGUCUGCAACUCGACUCCACGAAGCUGGAUUCGCUAGUAAUCGCGCAUCAGCCAUGGCGCGGUGAAUACGUUCCCGGGC